rnacentral:snRNA from 1 species
AGCUUUGCACAGUGGCAACAUCGUAGCCAAUGAGGUUUAUCCGAGGCGUGAUUAUUGCUAAUUGAAAAAAAAAAGAAAGA